rnacentral:rRNA from 1 species
AUUGAACGCUGGCGGCAGGCCUAACACAUGCAAGUCGAACGAGUGGCGGACGGGUGAGUAAUGUCUGGGAAACUGCCUGAUGGAGGGGGAUAACUACUGGAAACGGUAGCUAAUACCGCAUACCAUCAGAUGUGCCCAGCUGGGAUUGGCUUGUUGGUGGGGUAAAGGUUCACCAAGGAGACGAUCCCUAGCUGGUCUGAGAGGAUGACAAGCCACACUGGAACUGAGACACGGUCCAGAAUCCUACGGGAGGAAACAGUGGGUAAUAUUGCACAAUGGGCGCAAGCCUGGUGCAGCCAUGCCGCGUGUAUGAAGAAGGCCUUCGGGUUGUAAAGUACUGUCAGCGGGGAGGCGUUACCCGCAGAAGAAGCACCGGCUAACGCCGGGCCAGCAGCCGCGGUAAUUC